rnacentral:lncRNA from 1 species
CGAGCUCAAGUGAUCCACCUGCCUUGGACUCCCAAAAUGCUGGGAUUACAGGUGUGAGCCACUGUGCCUGGCAGGAACUAUUAUUUGACUUCACAAUGGCCUCAAAGUUCCAAGAGUAUGAUGCUGGCAAUCUGGAUAUGCCAAAAACCAGCCAUGAAGUCCUUCCUUUAGUUAAAAGGUGAAAGUUCUCAAGAAAAAAAAAAGUAUGCUGAGAUUGCUAAGAUCUACACCUAAUGAGGAGGUGACUAUCAUGAAGGUCUGGUGGUGAAGAUCUUGCAAGAAGGUGCCUUGUUUGAGAUCUUUCAAGGAAACACAGUACUCAAUAAAUGUGGUUCGGUGUACAGUUGAGCCUUGAGCAACAUGGAUUUGAACUGCAUGGGGCCACUUAAAUGUGCAUUUUCUUAUGACUCCGCU